rnacentral:rRNA from 1 species
GUGGGGAAUCUUGCGCAAUGGGCGAAAGCCUGACGCAGCCAUGCCGCGUGAAUGAUGAAGGUCUUAGGAUUGUAAAAUUCUUUAACCGGGGACGAUAAUGACGGUACCCGGAGAAGAAGCUCCGGCUAACUUCGUGCCAGCAGCCGCGGUAAUACGAAGGGGGCUAGCGUUGCUCGGAAUUACUGGGCGUAAAGGGCGCGUAGGCGGACAGCUUAGUCAGAGGUGAAAGCCCAGGGCUCAACCUUGGAAUUGCCUUUGAUACUGGCUGUCUUGAGUUUGGGAGAGGUGAGUGGAACUCCGAGUGUAGAGGUGAAAUUCGUAGAUAUUCGGAAGAACACCAGUGGCGAAGGCGACUCACUGGCCCAAUACUGACGCUGAGGCGCGAAAGCGUGGGGAGCAAACAGGAUUAGAAACCCUGGUAGUCC